UACGGGGGGAGCAAGCGUUGUUCGGAUUUACUGGGCGUAAAGGGCGCGUAGGCGGCCAGCGCAAGUCAGUUGUGAAAUCUCCGGGCUUAACUCGGAACGGUCAACUGAUACUGCGCGGCUAGAGUGCAGAAGGGGGCAACUGGAAUUCUCGGUGUAGCGGUGAAAUGCGUAGAUAUCGAGAGGAACACCUGCGGCGAAGGCGGGUUGCUGGGCUGACACUGACGCUGAUGCGCGAAGCCGGGGAGCGAAGCGG
rnacentral:rRNA from 1 species